rnacentral:misc_RNA from 1 species
AAGUCGUAACAAGGUUUCCGUAGGUGAACCUGCGGAAGGAUCAUUACCAAAUCCAAACAACAACCACUGUGAACUGUAUCUAUGUCCUUAGGGAAAGCAUUAUGUGGUCGAGUAAAAUCGGCUCCAUCUUGCUUUCCCUGUUGAACACCCUUUAAACUUUGCUGGAUUGUUUUUCAAACGAUUAACAAAGACAACUUUUAACGGUGGAUCUCUUGGCUCGU